UAGCAGCUGCUCCUUACCAUAUAUUGUUAAGGAUUUUAACUGGCUGUCUUCAACUUCUACUCUUUCUUGACCGUUCUUAACAAUUCUCUUGGUAGUAAUUUUUCUGCCGCUAGCAAAUUUAGUAGAAGUUGAUAUAGAUUUGAAGCCGCUUAUCCCAUUGUCUUUGCAGUCUAGAAGUGCAGAGAAGCUCAACAUGGGUUUUUUUUGUUUGUUUUGUUUUUGUUUUUGUUUUUGUUUAGUUCAUCAUGUUUUAGCAGGCUGUUGGAAGGAGUCCUCUUUUAUAGUUUUAAGGUCAUCUAUGUGGGGCCCGGGACUCGGGAGCUGGCAGCCGGCUGCAGCCCGGGUCUCCCCUCUGUUUCCUUUUGCACUGCUCUGCUGAUGUUUCUCAGAAUGUAUUCUCAUAUGCAGCAUUACUUUGUGCAUGCUAUUCCUUUAAGCGGAAAAUUGCACCCUCAGAAUCUCCGAACCUCUUAGCCUGGUCUGGUGACCAGUCUUCGCGUUGGUCUCGAGUAAACCACGCCUCCUUGGUUUUUACACUUAUGUGUUCCCUCCCACAUGGACUCGUGUAAGCAAUAAAUUGUAUUGGCCGCAAUACUGCCUGACUUAGGCUGUUAUAAGAAGCCUUGCAGCCCCUACCUUGAUUUCUCCGGGCAGUAGUUCCUAGAGCCGUGAGCCACCUUAUAAAAGUCCAUUUACCCUGCUGGAGGGAUUUUAUGGAGAACCCCCGAGACUUCAUGGAGAGAAGGAAGGUUCUAGCAGAGACUAGUCUUUAAAGCCAUCUCCUUUAAGGUACCAGGCAUGUGAGUGCAACUGUCUUGCAGCCUACCAACCAACCCAGCUGCUAAGCAGAACAAAUAUGACCCAAGAUGGAAGGUUGGAAAAGCAAGAAGGAAUAAUGAAAAAGCAACAUGGAUUCACGCUUGGGUGCAACCCAUGAUCUGCACAGAAAAUUUGCUAUGGAGGGAAACACAUUUCACCAGCAAAAGUACCGAAUUUUCAGAAAAUGAUGGGCAUUUAUAUAAACAAGUUUUACUGAGUAAUUCCUCUGGUAUUUUGUCUUUUAGUAAGACGACAUACAACUAUAAACACAUUCUAUGACUCUAAGACCUCACGUUUCUUUCAUCCUUUGUAUAUGAACAAAGGUUUCUGGUCUAUGUCUAACCCCAACUGUGUUGUAUUGACCCCAAACAAUAGAUUUGACUAACAUUCAGUCAAGUAUAACAGAGAUGUUUGGUUUUCACUACAAAAUUUUAUUAGCUUCGUUAUCAUCCCUGGACCAAAGAAAUUACAAUGCAUUUACUAUAGGUAGGAGUCAAAAUAGUCACUCCACACCUGGCAUCUUCUCAUUAUGAACAAUUACCAGGAAUAUACUCCUCAGUAUUUACAUAAAUUUCUUUCUCUGCACACCACUCCCUAACCUUUCAUUUGCUUCUAACACUGAACCUCCUCUUUUUUGUUAAAUGUGAGGUAAGCCUCAUGAACAUUUCCAUGCACAAAGAGAUCUAGAAAAGUGAACUACAGUCUUAAUUAGCACCUCUGUAAAAACCAUUGGUUUGCAUUAAAGAUAGUAAAAGUUCCUGAAAGCUGAAAAUGAUCUGUAGACAAUCAAGCCUACACCUCCCUGCAGGAUUACCUUUGAAUAAUUCUCCCACCAGCAGCCCUAACUCAUUAUCCAUCAUGUUUUAUAGAUUUCCAGAGAAGGCUUUUGAGACAACCUUGCAGUGUUAAUGUUUAAUGUUCCAUAAACUAUUGUCAGGAUAAAAUCCUCUUUUCUAACCUGCAGUUUUUUCUUAUUUCCAUUUAAAUUCUCUCUGAA